GGUGGAGUAGCGCAGUGGUCAGUGCCUUGUCUGUUGUCCUUGGCGUCGCGGGUUCGAGUCCCCGUCGCUCCCC
rnacentral:tRNA from 1 species